rnacentral:rRNA from 1 species
CCUACGGGUGACAGCAGUAGGGAAUAUUGCUCAAUGGGGGAAACCCUGAAGCAGCAACGCCGCGUGGAGGAUGACGGUUUUAGGAUUGUAAACUCCUUUUGUUAGAGAAGAUUAUGACGGUAUCUAACGAAUAAGCACCGGCUAACUCCGUGCCACCAGCCGGGGUACUACGGAGGGUGCAAGCGUUACUCGGAAUCACUGGGCGUAAAGAGUGCGUAGGCGGGGUAAUAAGUCAGAUGUGAAAUCCUGUAGCUUAACUACAGAACUGCAUUUGAAACUGUUACUCUGGAGUGUGCGAGAGGUAGGUGGAAUUCUUGGUGUAGGGGUAAAAUGCGUAGAGAUCACGAAGAAUACUCAUUGCGAAGGCGGCCUGCUGGCACAUUACUGACGCUGAUGCACGAAAGCGUGGGGAGCGAACAGGAUUAGAUACCCUUGUAGUC